UACAGAGGUCUCAAGCGUUGUUCGGAUUCAUUGGGCGUAAAGGGUGCGCAGGCGGCGCGGUAAGUCGGGUGUGAAAUCCUCGGAGCUUAACUCCGAAACUGCAUUCGAUACUGCCGUGCUUGAGGACUGGAGAGGAGACUGGAAUUUACGGUGUAGCGGUGAAAUGCGCAGAUAUCAAGGAGGAACACCGGUGGCGAAGGCGGGUCUCUGGGCAGUAACUGACGCUGAGGAGCGAAAGCGUGGGGAGCGAACAGG
rnacentral:rRNA from 1 species